UAAAACCUAGGAGAAAGUUUCUGAUUCCACAUCUUCCUUAGUGAAUGAUGUCUGUAAGGUUGGAGUUUUAGGUCUACUAGGUCCCCAACUUAAAACGACCGAUCGGAUCUUUACUUGUCUGCUAACUGCUUCAUUCGCUCUCUAGCUCGUUUCAAGUGGAACCUAAUGAGCUUCCUUAAGGUUUCUCGAUGCUGAAGUGUUCUGACUACCUUGGCUACCGUGGAAGACCCUAGCAAAUAUGAGAGGUGAAUGGGAGGGUCGGGUAUUGGCAAGGGUUGCAAUAAUCCAAGAUGAGUCCUUCUAGAUAAGGCAUUAGCCAGAUGUUUUGAGAUCCCUUUCGAUAAACAAUGGAGUAGUUGUACCCCAGCAUUUUGGACACCCACUUCUGUUGAUAUGGGGUAAUGGCCUGUUGCUCAGAGAGGAAUUCCAGACUUUAGUGGUCUAUCUUGAUAAUAAAGGGUCUCCCAACAAGCUCCAAUGCCAUUACCAAAUGCAUCUGUCUCCACACGGAAGGGUUUACGAAAAUCUGGAAGAGCUAGUACUGGUGCUAUACAAAUAGCGUCUUUAAGAGCUUGAAAGUUGUUUGUACAGAUUCUGUCCAAUGCCACUGUUGGUCUUUCUUUAAUAGUGAAGUGAGUGGUUGAACCAUGGCUCCAUACCCUUUAAUGAACCUCCUGUAGUAGCCAGAUAGCCCCAAGAAGCCUCUAAGUUCCUUGAUGUUCUUAAGUAUAGGCCAAGAGAGAACUUCUAUCUUCGACGAGUCCAUGCUGACAGUCCCUGCUGUUAUAGCAUGGCCUAGAUACUCAACUUAAGCAAUGGCAAAACUACAUUUAUUUUUCUUA